rnacentral:lncRNA from 1 species
GUGAAGUAGCCUUAGUCGACUGUAUGAACUCAUAAACUCACUCAACACCUGCACAUGUUUCGCUGAAACACUCUCCAGCUGAAGCUUCUCUGAGUUGUACUGCUCCAUUAGGUCAUCCAAAUCGGGGAAUGACCACUCAGCUUCUUCAACAGGUUGCUCAUAGCAUAUCAUCUCACGUUUCGCAACGGAACCGUUAGAGACCGUAUCUCUUCCCAAACCACUCGUUGCUUCUUCAUCCACACUCAACUUGGAAAGAGGCUGAUCACCAUGUAGUUGCUCAAUCACAACGGGUUCAGACAUAAGGAUACCUAAUAAACAACAUGAGAGUAGAAAGUACAUCCCAGGGCAACAAUACAUCAAAAAGAAUCAAACUUUGAACAUAACUGAAUCAAUCACCUUGGUUCACAGCAGCAGAAGCAGAAUGUACAUCAGAAACAGAAGAGUUAUCCUCUGUAUUCUCCGGUACACCAGCAGCAGCAGCAAGGAAGCUGCUUUCCACAUCACUCAAAACAAGAUCAGCUUCCUCCCAGAAACCAAUCUCAUCAGCUGCAUCACACCUCACCUCAACAUCAUCCACCCAUUUGAAGAAUCCACAAGCCCCAAAACCCUAAAAACACUAACUUUCUUAAAACCAUACACUCAGUGAAACCUUUUAAAAUUGAUCAAAUCAAAAACCUUUUUGACGCCACAUUGCAAGUAAGCUCGUCCAGAAUCAGCUACGACUCUCCGGCAAGGUCCAGAACCGCAGGGGCAAUCGGGGAUGGUGAAAGCAGGGCGGAAUCUGAUAUCUUCGUCGGUUGCUUUGUCACACCACUUGAAGAAGGUGCACUUCUGAGCCUGAGAGACAUUCAAAUCGUUAGCAAGAGAAUUCAAUUCGCGUUUGAUUCGAUGGAAUCGUGAAAGAAGUACGAACGGCAGGGCAUUUGUAGAAUCUUCUUCCGGGAUUCUCUUUAGUGUUCGAGAGCUUGGUUUCGCAGAGACCUCCGCCGCAAGGGCAGUGGAUCGACGGUGGAGGAGGAUCGUCAUCGGCGUUGGAUUUGAGAGGGCAAUCGCUGAUCCAGUGGCCGGUUUGACGGCAUCGGAAGCAGUUGCCGGUUUGCAUCCCGUCGUCGUCACGCUCUCGGAGACAUCCAACCUCCGUCUCAUUCUCAAUGAUGUUGUUAUGGGCCUUAAGCUUAUGGUAAUUGGUUUUUGAAGCCCAAUGAUUUGCUCGUUAAUGUGGGCCAUUACAUGUUUAAGCGGGCCAUAUUAGAUUAAAAAAUUUAAACCCAUCAAAUUAAAGCUAAGCAGAUUUUAUUUUCUUCUAAAUUAUAAAAUAUCAAAAUUCGAAAUAAAUAAGAAUUCAGAUGUUACAACUUGUGGUUACAAAUUCCUUAACCUAACUAUCUAAUCAACGUUGAUUACCUAACUUUGUUAGAUCUAAAUCUAAGAUGAGAUUACACUAGCCAGAAGAGGCUACUAACACUCUAUUCAUCCGAUGAUGGUUAAGUACACAUAGACAAGCGCCGAAGUUCAAAGUCAGCUAACUAAGUGGAUUCAAUUAUUCAAAUAUCAUUAUGAUGGAUGAGGAGAGAAACAAUAAUUGUGCUAACGUAAUCUUUGUUAGUUAGUUAGUUGUAGGAUUCGAAGGUAAAUGAAGAAGGAGAAUUAGAUUAGUACGAGCUAAUGAUGCAGUUAAGUAUGCAUGUGUAGGAAGUAUGGUGGAGAAACUACGCACACCUAACCCCUCAUCUAGUCCUGGGCGUUCGGGUACCCGUUGGCGUUCGGAUCGGGUUUUUCAGAUUUCGGUUCUUUUUUAUAACACCACUUAGGUCUCAUUCUAAUAAAUUUACAAGUACGGGUCGGGUUCAGAUAUAACACAUCGGGUUCGGCUCGGUUUUGUAUCACAUCAUAGAACCCAUAAAGUAACAAUAUAUCAUUCGGAUUCGGGUUAUAUCGGAUCGGUUCGGAUAUAUCCGAUAUAAAAUCUAAAAUUUAAAAGCAAAACAUAAAUACGGAAACGAUAUCUUAAGACAUGUACGUAACUUUCAUUUGAUUGAAUAGAAAGAGCGAAUAAUACACAUAAAUAUUCGCACCACCACCAUAACGUUGCUUUUUGGCCGUUUCAAGCUCUCAUUUUAUUGUUUAACCUUUUUUUUGUGACAAAAAAAACAACCUUUUUCUUUUUUUUCUCCAUGACUUAACCACUAAGGAGGUUUCACCACUACCCUUCCCAGUCCCACACGUACUCUAGAUUUCAAAUUAUCGAACCGUGCAGAUGCAUUACAUGAUACAUCUGGGCCUAAGUUUUGGCCUAUUAUAGCAAAUGACUCGAGGGCCAAGUCUUCUUUAUUAACUAGUCGGCCUCCCUAAUUAGUAUGCCAAACAUUUCGGAUUACAUUAGCUUAUUAUAUACACCAAAAAACCAAAAAUGUAGUAUGUCUAACCUAUAAAUCUAGUUCUACCAUAAGGAACGAACAUGAAUAAUAUAAACAGAGUAUGUCAUGUCAAGCCAUAGCCCAUCAGGCAUUUUGGGGCCUUGAAUUCUAAGGCCCAUAUGUAAUAUGCAUGUAAAUUUUGUUUUCCAUUGGUUAAGAUACAAAAGGGAUAACUCCUUAUUGAAAGACAAACAGUCACUUUGAUCAUAGAAAGAGAUCAAGGACGGCUAAACAUGAUGAAAAAAAAAGAAACAAAGGUGAAAAUAAAUUAAAUAUGGAUGAGAAGAUGUUAAUUAUAGGAAUAAAAGUGGUUGAAACCAUGAGGCAAGGAGUCAGAAACCGAAGGCAUUCUACUGAACAUUGGGCUGUGGACGUACUCACCCUCGAAAUAGUUAGCGGAGGAGAAGUCUUCCACGCUCCAUUGUUGUUGGCUGUAACAAGAACUAGACAAGUCGCUCGGCAGAGGAGGCAGCUCGCAGCCGCUGUUAGAAUAACAAGAAGGAGAGCCACCAAACAUGUAACUACUACUGUCCACAUGAUCAGACUGGAGCUGUAGCAUUGGCGAGUCAGUAGAUGAAUAUUGGUUAAACAUCAUCAUGUAAUCGACAUGAUCAUUUGGACAAGUAGGAGAAGCAGCAGGAGGGGGAGGAGGAGAAUCGUCAGGAGAAACAAUGGAGGUGACGGAGGAGGAAGGAGGCAUGUCUGAGUAGACAAAGUUGGUUCGGGCACGAGUGCCACGCAUGGACCGAGAAGCUCUGUCGUAGGCCAAGGCAGCUUCCUCAGCCGUAUCAAAAGUACCAAGCCAGUGACGCUCCUUUGUAGUUGGGUCUCUUAUCUCAGCUGCGUAUCUUCCCCAAGGCCUCCUUCUUACCCCAAGAAACUUUGUUCCAACCUCUUCUUGCUUCUUCUUGGUCUUGGAUGUGUUCAUCGUUCUGUAUCCGGUUUAUAUUCUUGAUAUCCGGUUUAGAUUAUUUAUUCUAGUUGAAGGAGAAGAAAAAUGAGGGAAGGAAUGUGUGUUGGUAUCCCUUUGACAACCCUUUUAUAUAAGAGCUGCAUGCACCUUUCCUUUCCUUUUCUCAUUUUUAUAUUCUAUAUAAAUAUAUUUUUAUCUUUAUUCCAAUAUGAACAUCAUUUAAAAAAACAGCACUGCUGUUGAGUUAAUUGUGGCCUAUGAGGCUAUGAUAUAUCAAUUAUCAGUCAAUCGAAAUAUAUAAUUAUCAAAUGAUUUGCCACUUGGUAGCAUGUUUUAUUCAUUUCUCAAGGAUUGUAUACUAGUGAUUUCAUAAAUGGUUCCGCUCAAAUCUAAUGCUUAGAUCGGACUAACUUUGAUCAUAGCUGCUAGUAUAUUAACUCCAAUUUAUUUAAAAUACAAAGGAGUUUGGUUUUGUUACAAAUGAGAGCGAACCAAUAAUAAGAAAAACCAUUAAAAAUAAAUGCAUAUAGCAAUGAGUUAGCAUUAUAAUUAGAUACAUCUGACAUCUCUGUGUACUCAUCACUCGUCAACAAUAAUAAGCUGAAAAUAAAAGAUGGUGAAUGAUAAGGGGAGCCAUGAUUAGCAUGUUACUUUAGCUACCAACUUUACUUGUCUAAUAAUAUGAUCUCGCAGUUGAUAGAUAAACAAAAAUUAUAGAUAAAUAACGUAGUCGGCAGUAGUAAACUAUUAAAUUCGGAGAAUAUCCAAAUACUAUUGCAUGUGAUGGUCCAAUUUAAAUGAUAUGGAAUAUGCAUGAACUGCGAUUGUAAUCAUACACUCUCCAGAGAAAAAGAGAAGCAAUUCCUAAUUAUUUCAUGAAACGUAAACGGUUUUCCUCUUAUCAAUCAUACAACUCGAAAAACAAUGAGUUUGGUGUUUCAAAAAUAAUAAAACAAUUGGGAAAGAAAGGGCGCAAUGAUGGCCGUAUGAUUGAAGGUAGUCGACUUAAUCAUGGGAUCAUGAAGUCAUUACUUAAGCAUCUAUUAUAUGCGUAUAAAUCUUGUAAAACUAAUUAAUCACCCAGUGUCGGGUUUUGACUUUUGACUAACACAAAUUAAAAGAGAAAGUCUUUGAGAAAGAUUAUCAUUUUUUUGGGGGUAAAACUAUGAUAAUCAUAUUUGAUACGAGAGUAUCUAAGGAAGCAAGUGGUAGCCUUUCUAAGACGAUCUUAUUCUGUGUCAGAAGAAGAAGACCAAAGACCAGUUAUGCAUGGCUACACGACCAACGUUAGGGACGGUGAUGGUGGAUCGUAUUAUUCUUAUUCUCUUUUAUAAUAUACUCCCAUUAGUCUACAUGUACAAUAAUCCAAAGUGGGUGUUAUAUAAACCAGAGAAUAAUUUAAAACAACAAGGGGUGAUGCAUGUGCUCUCAAUUUUAUAGGCCACACCCUUUUUCAUCUCCCUAUUGUUUUAGUCCCCAAGGCAUCUAUCAAUUUUUUUAACAUUUACUUUUCUAAUAGUCUCUUCCUAAAUUCGAUUUCUUAAUAUAUAUUCUGACCAAAUUAAUCCAUUCAAAUCCGUUUGCUCUGUAUUACUUUAUUUUAAAACAUUAUUUAUAACCAUGCAUUAUUAAGAACAAAUGAAUUUGGGUUGCAUGUGAGCAAUCUUUUAUGCUUUUGAGUUUCAUAGUUAAUCUUAAUUUCAUUGGAGAAAACAAGUCCUAUCAUUUUAUGUUCCCCCUUUUGACCAACUCUCAUUUGUUUCGUUUAGUUCUAUAUAUCUAAUUCAAAGCCUUGAUACAUUGAAUCUUGUUCACAUUUUACGAUUCCAUUCUAUAUCUCCUUUUGAUUUUAUUCCCCUAUCAUUUAUUCUAGUUUUCUUUACAAAAUUAAUACUGCCUUCUCAUGGUUUACGGUGAACUAUAAAUUCAUUUACAAUGUCGAAGUAUCUAUCAUGUAACUAUUGAUGAUCAAGUAUCUAUGGGUUUGGACCUCUAAUGGUGUUUUAGUAGGCAAGUAAGAAAGACGAGAACGCAUGUGCGCCCAACGUGGAAAGACACUCUCUUGGACGGUUAACAUCAUUAAUCCUUUUUCUAAUCAUUACCUACACAAUUAUCCUGUCUUAUUCACAUCUAAUUACUCUUUUAAUCAAGCGACCAUGUGAUGAGCGCACUAUGUAGAUUCACAAUUCUCAACCACAUUAAGAAGUUUUAAAACAAAGGAAAUGUGUUUUUGGCUUAUCUAAACCUGAAAAUCAAUCAAUCCCUUGAUCCAAUGAACUUGUUUGUAUAAGUUGUAUGAUCUGAUAUAGUUGAAACUUGAAAGUGUGUGUAUUAAGGAGUUAAAUGAAUUUAUUAAUUACUUGGCUAAAAUAAGUGUAACCAGUAAUAGUUACAUUCCAACACUUACAAUGACACUCACGAGUAAGCUCAACAUCUUCUUCUCUUCCUACCAACAAACUCUUUCUGCUUCAACAAUUCCACUUCAUCUCCUAGUAUCGCUGCCAUCACCUGCAUCCUAUUCUGAGCCUCAGCCAUCUCUCCAGCCACUUCCCGGCAACUCGCUCCAAGCUCCAAUGCCUCGGCCUCACAACAAGCCAUCUCCUUCUCCGUCUCAAGCAACAGUUUCCUCAGAUUACCAGUUUUCUCAUGAAGUAACCUUAACCGACUGUAUGAACUCAUAAACUCACUCAACACUUGUGCAUGUUUCGCUGAAACACUCUCCAGCCGAAGCUUCUCUGAGUUGUAUUGCUCCAUUAGGUCAUCCAAAUCGGGGAAUGACCACUCAGCUUCUUCCACAGUUUGCUCAUAGCAUAUCAUCUCACGUUUCGCAACAGAACCGUUAGAGACCGUAUCUCUUCCCAAACCACUCGUUG